rnacentral:hammerhead_ribozyme from 1 species
AUCCAUCUAACGAGCCCCAAACAGGACGAAAUGCGCGUCCUGAAU